rnacentral:rRNA from 1 species
GACGAAGGGGGCUAGCGUUGUUCGGAAUUACUGGGCGUAAAGCGUGUGCAGGCGGGGGUACAAGUGGUGUAUGAAAUUUCCCAGCUUAACUGGGAAGGGUUAUGCCAGACUGUACUUCUGGAGUGCGAGAGAGGGGCGUGGAAUUCCGGGUGUAGUGGUGAAAUGCGUAGAGAUCCGGAGGAACCCCAGAGGCGAAGGCGGCUACCUGGACAGGUACUGACGCUGAAGCGCGAAAGCUAGGGGAGCAAACAGG